CCUACGGGCGGCAGCAGUGGGGAAUAUUGCACAAUGGGGGAAACCCUGAUGCAGCGACGCCGCGUGAGUGAAGAAGUAUCUCGGUACGUAAAGCUCUAUUAGCAGGGAAGAAAAUGACGGUACCUGACUAAGAAGCCCCGGCUAACUACGUGCCAGCAGCCGCGGUAAUACGUAGGGGGCAAGCGUUAUCCGGAUUUACUGGGUGUAAAGGGAGCGUAGACGGCAGCGCAAGUCUGGAGUGAAAUGCCGGGGCCCAACCCCGGAACUGCAUUGGAAACUGUGCAGCUGGAGUGCAGGGGAGGUAGGCGGAAUUCCUGGUGUAGCGGUGAAAUGCGUAGAUAUUAGGAGGAACACCGAUGGCGAAGGCGGCUUGCUGGACUGUAACUGACGUUGAGGCUCGAAAGCGUGGGGAGCAAACAGGAUUAGAUACCCCUGUAGUC
rnacentral:rRNA from 1 species